UCGAAAUUGUAGUUUAAAUAAAAUAUUAGCAUUGGAAGUUAACGAUUAGGUUACAAUCCUACAUUUCGAA
rnacentral:tRNA from 2 species